UACGAAGGGGGCUAGCGUUGCUCGGAAUUACUGGGCGUAAAGCGCACGUAGGCGGAUUCUUAAGUCGGUGGUGAAAUCCUGGAGCUCAACUCCAGAACUGCCUUCGAUACUGAGAGUCUUGAGUCCGGGAGAGGUGAGUGGAACUGCGAGUGUAGAGGUGAAAUUCGUAGAUAUUCGCAAGAACACCAGUGGCGAAGGCGGCUCACUGGCCCGGUACUGACGCUGAGGUGCGAAAGCGUGGGGAGCAAACAGG
rnacentral:rRNA from 1 species